rnacentral:rRNA from 1 species
GACGAACGCUGGCGGCGUGCUUAACACAUGCAAGUCGAACGGUGAAGGGGUCUGCUUUUGUGGGCCCUGGAUGAGUGGCGAACGGGUGAGUAACACGUGAGUAACCUGCCCCCUUCUUCUGGAUAACCGCAUGAAAGUGUGGCUAAUACGGGAUAUUCUGGGUCUGUCGCAUGAUGGGUCUGGGAAAGAUUGCGCCUUUGGGUGUUUUUGGUGGGGGAUGGGCUCGCGGCCUAUCAGCUUGUUGGUGGGGUGAUGGCCUACCAAGGCGGUGACGGGUAGCCGGACUGAGAGGGUGGACGGUCACACUGGGACUGAGACACGGCCCAGAAUCCUACGGGAGGCAGCAGUGGGGAAUAUUGCACAAUGGGCGCAAGCCUGAUGCAGCGACGCCGCGUGAGGGAUGGAGGCCUUCGGGUUGUAAACCUCUUUCGCCAGUGAAGCAGGCCUGCUCCUUGUGGGUGGGUUGACGGUAGCUGGAGAAGAAGCGCCGGCUAACUACGUG